GGUUAAGCGACUAAGCGUACACGGUGGAUGCCCUGGCAGUCAGAGGCGAUGAAGGACGUGCUAAUCUGCGAUAAGCGUCGGUAAGGUGAUAUGAACCGUUAUAACCGGCGAUUUCCGAAUGGGGAAACCCAGUGUGUUUCGACACACUAUCAUUAACUGAAUCCAUAGGUUAAUGAGGCGAACCGGGGGAACUGAAACAUCUAAG
rnacentral:rRNA from 1 species